rnacentral:pre_miRNA from 1 species
AAGAGCACGAUGGAGAAGCAGGGCACGUGCAUUACCGACUCAUGCCGUACGUACCUGGAGAGAAACCAAGAAAUUGGCUGAACCAUGAAGGGUUUCUUGUAUCAUCGAUGGCUCCAAGUCUGGUGAACCAUGAGUGGGUUCUUCAUGUGCCCUUCUUCCCCAUCAUGACCAG